CCUACGGGUGGCAGCAGUGGGGAAUGUUGCGCAAUGCUCGUAAGAGUGACGCAGCGACGCCGCGUGAAUGACGAAGGCCUUCGGGUCGUAAAGUUCUUUCGACAGGGAAGAAAAUGCAUAUAAGUAACUGUGUAUGUAUUGACGGUACCGGUAUAAGCAGCACCGGCUAACGCCGUGCCAGCAGCCGCGGUAAGACGGAGGGGGCGAGCGUUGGUCGGAGUGACUGGGCGUAAAGAGCACGUAGGCGGUGUUGUAAGUCAUUAGUCAAAGACUAGAGCUCAACUUUAGUACGGCUAGUGAUACUCUUAUUCUAGAGUAUCCGAGAGGCUUGCCGAAUUC
rnacentral:rRNA from 1 species